AUGAGCAGCCUAGCAAGUCGAUUCAUCAUCAUCGACAUCUCUAAUGCAAUCCUGUUUCGAAUUGGUGAAGUGGUUUCUGUUCCUGUUCCGGAACUCCGACAUAUUGUUUGGUUAUCUGUUAACCGUCAAGUUGUUUCCUCAACACAACCAUGGAACUUGAGCCAAUUCCUAAAGAAGAAUGGUAGACCAGAGUUCAGGAUUUGA